rnacentral:rRNA from 3 species
AAAUUGAAGAGUUUGAUCAUGGCUCAGAUUGAACGCUGGCGGCAGGCCUAACACAUGCAAGUCGAACGGUAACAGGAAGCAGCUUGCUGCUUCGCUGACGAGUGGCGGACGGGUGAGUAAUGUCUGGGAAACUGCCUGAUGGAGGGGGAUAACUACUGGAAACGGUGGCUAAUACCGCAUAACGUCGCAAGACCAAAGAGGGGGACCUUCGGGCCUCUUGCCAUCAGAUGUGCCCAGAUGGGAUUAGCUAGUUGGUGAGGUAACGGCUCACCAAGG